rnacentral:rRNA from 1 species
GGGCCGCACGCGCGCUACACUGACGGAGCGAGCGAGUACCUUAGCCGAGAGGUUUGGGAAAUCUUGAGAAACUCCGUCGUGCUGGGGAUAGAGCAUUGUAAUUGUUGCUCUUCAACGAGGAAUUCCUAGUAAGCGCAAGUCAUCAGCUUGCGUUGAUUACGUCCC